CAAGGGGGCAGCAAUGCACCAUCAUGGAUGAUGGCUGCCGUAAAACCGAACAAUACAGGAAUUGAAUAUGGUUGGUGCUAACAGUAAAACGAUACAUUUUCAUAUGAAAAGUAACUUGAGGAUGUAUCCUUCUGGAAUUAUUUUUGGAAAGUCCCCAAAAAGUCACUUAUGUUCCAGGCCGGUUUACAAAUCUUCUGGAAGGGCUCACACAGAAGCACUCUUUGGAAAGGCCCGGAUGUUAGCUAGCAUGGUUGGAGUGGAUGAAGACACAUCUAAAAGGCCUACGUUGCAUGGAGGACCUCGUAGAAAUGGCGAAUUUCCCUUCUAGCUAACAAAAAAACUGCGCGGCCCCACCUUAAAUGAGGACAGGGAGCAAGGGAGCACACUGGACAGCGGAGACGAGGGGAGAGGUAGAUGGGAAUUCAUUGAAGAAUUGGGCAUAAUGUGCUCUGGGCAGUCCCCGAACCAGCUGUUUUCCAUUCGGUGGGAGUACAAGCAGUGAAAUGUAGCUGGGGUGGGAUAGACAGGCAAACAAAGAAGUGUAGAAGAAGAGGGGCAAGACUGUAAAACAUGGUGUGAGACACAACGUGUAAAGGUCACGAAGAUGGCCGUUCAAGUGGCCUGGUGUGUCCUUUUCUUUCUCUCCAUGUGUUCUUUUGUCUCAGACAAACUAAAUAGAACAGUAGGCUCCAAAAGACAAAAGACUCCCUUUAAAGGAAUGAGACUUGUUUUUAGAUGUAUUAGUGUUUGCUUUUGUUGAUAACCUGCAUCUUUUUACCCUUAUUAAAUCCUCCACACUGUGUA